GACAGAGGGGGCAAGCGUUGCUCGGAAUUACUGGGCGUAAAGGGCGCGUAGGCGGGAUGGCAAGUCGGUCGUGAAAUCCCUCGGCUCAACCGAGGAACGUCGAUCGAUACUGCUGUUCUUGAGGAUUGCAGAGGAGACUGGAAUUCCCGGUGUAGCGGUGAAAUGUGUAGAGAUCGGGAGGAACACCGGUGGCGAAGGCGGGUCUCUGGGCAAUUCCUGACGCUGGGAGCGCGAAAGCGUGGGGAGCAACGGG
rnacentral:rRNA from 1 species